rnacentral:rRNA from 1 species
AACGUAGGAGACAAACGUUAUCCGGAGUUACUGGGCGUAAAGGGCGUGUAGGUGGUUAUGUAAGUCUGGCGUGAAAUUUUUCGGCUUAACCGGGAAAGGUCGUCGGAUACUGCAGGACUCGAGGACGGUAGAGGCGUGUGGAAUUCCGGGUGUAGUGGUGAAAUGCGUAGAGAUCCGGAGGAACACCAGUGGCGAAGGCGACACGCUGGGCCGUACCUGACACUGAUGCGCGACAGCAUGGGGAGCAAACAGG